rnacentral:rRNA from 1 species
UUGGGUUAAGUCCGUACGAGCGCAACCCUUGUCCUUAGUUACCAGCACGUUAUGGUGGGCACUCUAAGGAGACUGCCGGUGGACAAACCGGAGGAAGGUGGGGAUGACGUCAAGUCAUCAUGGCCCUUACGGCCUGGGCUACACACGUGCUACAAUGGUCGGUACAAAGGGUUGCCAAGCCGCGAGGUGGAGCUAAUCCCAUAAAACCGAUCGUAGUCCGGAUCGCAGUCUGCAACUCGACUGCGUGAAGUCGGAAUCGCUAGUAAUCGUGAAUCAGAAUGUCACGGUGAAUACGUUCCCGGGCCUU